rnacentral:rRNA from 1 species
CAGUCGCCGCGGUAAAACGUAGGUGGCAAGCGUUGUCCGGAAUUAUUGGGCGUAAAGGGCUCGCAGGCGGUUUCUUAAGUCUGAUGUGAAAGCCCCCGGCUCAACCGGGGAGGGUCAUUGGAAACUGGGAAACUUGAGUGCAGAAGAGGAGAGUGGAAUUCCACGUGUAGCGGUGAAAUGCGUAGAGAUGUGGAGGAACACCAGUGGCGAAGGCGACUCUCUGGUCUGUAACUGACGCUGAGGAGCGAAAGCGUGGGGAGCGAACAGGAUUAGAUACCCGAUAGUCCCUGUCUCUUAUACA